UACAUAUGGAAGGAAAAAAAAUCUCAAUCUUUGUAUUUUUCAACAACUCAACGCCGUCGCCGGCGCGCUGGCUUUUGAUGUAUAAGGACUUGUGAACUGCUAACUGCAGAGUUUAAUCCAAGACUGUCGAUGAAAAUGUAUUACCGGCAUCUGCCUUUCUCGUGUAGAAUUAUUCGAAGGUCUCGGAUCCAACAAGAAAUCUGUACAAUCUCGAACUUGGUUUUUUUAGAAUCAGAAAUGUUGAAAUUUGUACAUACCCAAGCAAUGGAUCUUCCGUUUCAGGAAACUAACGAUAGAAAAACUCCUGAUUACAAUGAUGUGCGAAGAGGGCAUUUCGUCAUGAAACUCAUAGACGACUCUGUUUCGCAUAAUGGGUUCGAAUCUAUUGCUCGUAUUUUCUCUAAGUAUCGUGGUUCUAUCAAUUCUCAGCAGUGUAACUCGAUGAUCAGGCGUUAUUUGGAUUUGAAUAAGCAUUUAAAUUCACUGUACAUUUUUGCCCAAAUGCAUAAAUUUAGUAUUCUGCCCGAUUUAUCUACUUUUCCUGCUGUUCUUAAAGCAACUGCGCAGCUAUGUGAUACUGAAGUUGGAAAAAUGAUACAUGGUAUUGUUAUUCAGAUGGGUUUUAUUUGCGAUGUCUACACCAGUACCGCUUUAGUUCAUAUGUAUUCUACUUGUUUGUCUAUAUCUGAUGCUUCUCAGGUGUUCGACGAAAUGGCCGAGAGAAAUGCAGUUACUUGGAAUGCUUUGAUUACUGGUUAUACUCAUAAUAGAAAGUUUAUGGAAGCUAUCGAUGCUUUCCGAGGAAUGUUGGCAGCUGGGGCUCAACCGAGUGAGAGAACCGUGGUUCUAGUUCUAUCGGCUUGUUCUCAUUUGGGAGCUUUGAAUCAGGGAAAGUGGAUCCAUGAUUUUAUUUAUCAUAAUAGGUUGAGACUGAACGUGUUUGUGGGCACAGCUCUUAUUGAUAUGUAUGCUAAAUGUGGGGCUGUUGAUGAGGUCGAGAAGGUCUUCGAAGAAAUUAGAGAGAAGAAUGUGUAUACAUGGAAUGUCUUGAUUUCUGGAUAUGCCAUGAAUGGGCAAGGCGAUGCAGCUUUACAGGCUUUUUCUAGGAUGUUGAUGGAAAAUUUCAAGCCAGAUGAAGUUACCUUUCUAGGUGUUUUGUGUGCAUGCUGUCACCAAGGUCUGGUAACGGAAGGGCGCAGGCAAUUCAUGAGCAUGAAACAGCAGUUUGGACUGCAACCAAGGAUAGAGCAUUAUGGAUGUAUGGUUGACCUACUUGGUCGAGCGGGAUUGUUGGAGGAAGCUCUAGAGUUGAUCCAAUCCAUGAGCAUGGAGCCAGACCCUAUCAUUUGGAGGGCUUUGCUUUGUGCUUGCAGAGUCCAUGGGAAUACGAAAUUGGGUGAAUAUAUUAUGAAACGACUUGUAGAACUAGAACCAAACAAUGGGGAAAAUUAUGUCUUGCUGUCAAAUAUAUAUGCAAGGGAACGACGGUGGGCUGAAGUAGGGAAGUUGAGGGGAAUGAUGAAUCUAAGAGGGAUCAGAAAAGUCCCUGGUUGCAGUUCAAUUGAAAUAAACAAUGUAGUUUAUGAGUUUGUUGCAUCAAAUGACAGAAAACCAGAAUAUGAGGCAAUAUACAAGCAGUUGGAUAAUUUGAUUAAGAAAUUGAAAGAAAAUGGUUAUGUUACAGGCACGGACAUGGCUUUAUAUGAUGUUGAGAAAGAAGAGAAAGAGCAUUCUCUGAUGUACCAUAGUGAGAAACUUGCUUUAGCAUUUGGUCUCUUAAACUCUCCUUUAGAUUGCACCCUAAGGAUAGUGAAAAAUCUAAGAAUUUGCUUGGACUGCCACGAGUUUUUCAAGGUUGUAUCACUUGUCUAUAAAAGAUAUAUUGUUGUGAGAGACAGAAACCGUUUCCACCAUUUCUUUGAAGGUUUCUGUUCGUGCCGAGACUAUUGGUGAAAAAUUAAAUGUGAUAGAACUAUGUCUCUGGCAAUACUUGCAUUUCUUUGUGGAAAUCACGCAACUGGAUCAACAUGAUAUCAUUGAAUUCCGGUGAAAAAUGAAGAACUUUGAAACUGAACGGCCAAACUGUUCAGCCAUGGUUUUGCCUCCUUAUUUAAGUUGGCGUGUAUAAGAAACAACUACACUCAUUUCUGAAGUUCUAAUAAAUGUUGGAGAAUAGGAGAGGUUCCCGUCAAUGUUUGAAAGCCAAAGGGAAUAAGCUGAAGGAAAUAUCGGGCAUUCAGUUCCUUUUCCUCUGCAUGCCAACAAUAAGCUGUAGGAUUCUGAAGAUUUGGGGAGAUCCAUUUGAAGUAAUUUAAUGAAGCUGUCAAGAAAAGCAUAGCCUCUGGUCAAUUCUAUCAAUAAACCCAUGCCAUAUUUUUGGGAGAGAAAAAGAAUAAGAAGCUAAGGGGGGUUUUUGGGAAGUGUCAAGAAAAGCAGUUUUGAUUGAUGGUGUUUCUUGUUUCUAUGUAUAGUAUGUUUUCACAGCAGAGGUUGAAUUCAAACUCAUCUCUAAUUUCCCUUGUAACCAAGAACAAAAAAUGAAUGUAUGUGUAUGUAGGAUGGCCCAACGUCCGUUUUUAGCCUAGUCCGACCCCUUGACUCAAUUUGGAAAACUGAAAUCCCACCUGACUAAAACGAAAGGAUCAGUUGGAGGGACGAAAGCGCCGGUGGAAAAUUUAGAUUUUGGCUUUGUUGUUGAGACGAUGGAAGGCAGUAGAAUUUGAGGAAAUGUAGCAGCCCAAGGAAAGGAACUGGAGCUGGAUGCCACUGAAGCAGCGUCGAGCAGUCCCGUACGAGCUGCAAGCAACGACAUUUGAAGCUGCUGCUGCUGCUGCUGUAUUCCUAGAGGCAUGACCAUCUGUGAAGCUGAUCUAAUGCUGCCCAUGAACUGAACUUGUGCUUGAAGUUGCUUCAAAUAUUGAAUUGUGUCGUCCAAAAGUGAAGCUCUAUCAGUCUGUAGAAUGAAAAAAAGAAAACAAGUUAACUCAACGUUUAUAAAUGUAAUAUAGAUUUAAAUGAUCACAAGAAACUCGAAUCCAAGUCUAAUAUAAAUGUAGAAAAUUUUUUAUCUCAAGCUUUAUAAACUUAGGUUUAAUUUAUUAAAUCCUAGGAGUUUGAAUUAAGCUACUUUUGUUGGAGUUCUUCAAGACCAGAAGAAUUGUAUUUACCUCCAACUUCUAUACGAUUUAAUGAGUACAAGAACUUUCCUAGUGUCCA